AACGAACGCUGGCGGCAUGCCUAACACAUGCAAGUCGAACGAGACCUUCGGGUCUAGUGGCGCACGGGUGCGUAACGCGUGGGAACCUGCCCUUAGGUUCGGAAUAACUCCCCGAAAGGGGUGCUAAUACCGGAUAAUGUCUUCGGACCAAAGAUUUAUCGCCUUUGGAUGGGCCCGCGUUGGAUUAGCUAGUUGGUAGGGUAAAAGCCUACCAAGGCGACGAUCCAUGGCUGGUCUGAGAGGAUGAUAAGCCACACUGGGACUGAGACACGGCCCAGACUCCUACGGGAGGCAGCAGUGGGGAAUAUUGGACAAUGGGCGAAAGUCUGAUCCAGCAAUGCCGCGUGAGUGAUGAAGGCCUUAGGGUUGUAAAGCUCUUUUACCCGGGAUGAUAAUGACAGUACCGGGAGAAUAAGCUCCGGCUAACUCCGUG
rnacentral:rRNA from 1 species